GGCAGUUCCUGUCAAAUUUUGUAUUCAUUCUAGAAGUUCAUACUAUAUUAUUGGGUGACUCUUCAUUUUCACUAGAUUAAUGUCCAUUAGAUUAUGUUGCUUUCUUGAUUAAAUGGAUGUGUCAAAUUGCAGAUAUAAGUAUGCACUUGUAAAUAGGUGGAUAAAUGAAUGGGCAACUCUUGAAUGGUUGAUGUGCUAGUUGAGUUGCAUAGAUUUCAAUCUCCACGUUCAUUCCCAUUAGCAUGUUUAUAAUUAUGUUGAUUCAUUCUGUUUUUAAGUGAAGUAAUUAGUUUUUAAGUGAAGUAAUUAGUGCUAAGUACUAAAAGGGAGUAAUAUCUCAUAUUUU
rnacentral:misc_RNA from 1 species